rnacentral:rRNA from 1 species
AACGAACGCUGGCGGCAGGCUUAACACAUGCAAGUCGAACGAUGUAGCAAUACAUAGUGGCGCACGGGUGAGUAACGCGUGGGAAUGUACCAUUUGGUGGGGAAUAACUCCGGGAAACUGGAGCUAAUACCGCAUACGCCCUUCGGGGGAAAGAUUUAUCGCCAAAUGAUCAGCCCGCGUGAGAUUAGGUAGUUGGUGGGGUAAUGGCCUACCAAGCCGACGAUCUCUAGCUGGUCUUAGAGGAUGACCAGCCACACUGGAACUGAGACACGGUCCAGACUCCUACGGGAGGCAGCAGUGGGGAAUAUUGGGCAAUGGACGAAAGUCUGACCCAGCCAUGCCGCGUGAGUGAUGAAGGCUCUAGGGUUGUAAAGCUCUUUCGCCGAUGAAGAUAAUGACGGUAGUCGGAGAAGAAGCCCCGGCUAACUUCGUGCCAGCAGCCGCCGUAACAC